rnacentral:lncRNA from 1 species
CGGGGCAUGGAAACAUACUGAGGCACUGUGUGUAUGUUAUUUGUGCAUGAGAAUGAAACUCCUUGACCCUGAAAACAGGACGGGGAGUGGAGUGUGUGGUGUGAUAAGGAACGCUGAAAACAGCCUCCCGAGAAUGCGGUUUGAGUGCUUUUACCAGGCCACAGGUGUCUCAUGACCCGACCUCAAAAAGGCCAUCUAGUGGAUGUUUGUGGUCUAACAAGCCCUUUCAAUGAAUACUUGGCGGACAGAUGCUGGGGCGGAGUCUCUUAGAAGAGCUGCCCCCGGCCCCCCUCAGCUGGAUUUGUCUGAGAACUCAUUCUUGGCGUUCACUGCAAGCUAUAAGCUCUGCAAGUGGUGACCCCGACGUGAUCGCCUUGAAGUUACGCGUGAAGGAGGAGAGCUCAUUACUUUUCGGGGAAUCCUGAGAACAGGACCAGUCGUUGGAGAACCAACCAACAAUGAUGGUGAUGACUCGGAAGGCACCUGACAUCACCUGGGGACAGCUAAAGAAAUUGAAUCAACAAGCAUCUAUCCAGCUUGCCGCCGUGGAAGCCCCUGCAACUGCAGACAAUCGGUUUCUUACAUAUCUGGUGGCAAUUGGGGAAACUUCUGAGAAAGUAAGACAGACAUGGAUGUUGGGGUGGCAGGUAA